rnacentral:rRNA from 1 species
GAUGAACGCUAGCGGCGUGCCUAAUACAUGCAAGUCGAGCGAACAGACGAGGAGCUUGCUCCUCUGACGUUAGCGGCGAACGGGUGAGUAACACGUGGAUAACCUACCUAUAAGACUGGGAUAACUUCGUGAAACCGGAGCUAAUACCGGAUAACAUGUUGAACCGCAUGGUACAACAGUGAAAGACGAUCUUGCUAUCACUUCUAGAUGGAUCGUCGCCGCAUUAGCUAGUUGGGAAGGUAACGGCUUACCAAGGCAACGACGCGUAGCCGACCUGAGAGGAGAGGCGUGUCCACCGGAACGGUAACGAGAUCCGGACCAGUAUGGGAGGCGAGGGAGGGGUGUAUACCAUAGUGGACGGAUGCGUAGAGUGACACCGCCACGCGGGGUGUAAAGUUCUGGGGUUCUUAAUUCUCUGCUAUUUGGGAAAAACAAGUGUAUAAGUAACGAGGAACGUGUUGACGGUACCUAAUGAGAAAGCCACGGCUAACUACGUG